UCCAGGACUUCAGCUCCCACAAUUCCUAAUGACUGACUCCUCCUCGGCCAGAGAGGAAGAGAAGGAGGGGAAGCAGUGAUGAUGGCGUUGGCUCCCUCCUCCCCCUUUCCCUUCUCCUUCGUCAGCCGCUCUCCUGGUUGCCUUCCCUUCCUACCUCGCCUGGCCUCUUCCAGAUUAUUGAUCAUGGAUAGACAGAGGAGACUGAAGCUACAAUAAGCCCAGCUGCAAGAGAAGCCUUUUUGAGAAAGGCUACAAGAGACUCAAGAACCAAAUGUCUUAAUCAAGUCAAAUCUAAACGAGAGACUAUGUUUAAGAAAGGCUGAUCAAGGGGUCUAAUCAGAACAAUGGAGCCUGCAGCCCUCCUACCUACAAUAAAGAGGUUCAAGCUGGAAGAAAGAUAAUGAUAAAGACACAGACUGAUCCAUAUUCUAAGAAAUACAAUGAAGAAUCAAUUCACUAUGAGAAAUUUGGUACGAGCAGGGCAUUUUAUAGCAGAGAGUAAAUAGCAGCUUUGAAAGACUUCAUUAAAAAUAAAAGUUUUCAGGACAGGUAUGAAAGAAGAAAGGAAAAGGGAAAUAAAGGGGCAAUCUAUCCAGAGAUCUAAUAGUGAAGUAAACAUGGUGUUUAAAUUUAUUUAUUUUAAAUGAGUUCUGUUCAAUUUUUUUAGGGUCAAGAUUGGGAAGAAAACCCAAUAUCAAAUAUAAAUAUUUUCAGGUGAUCAAAGAACUGGAUUCAUUUGUCUUAUAAAUAAGAGGCAUGUAUUUGGUUCCUUGAGGUGGGAGGUCUGGUUUCUCUCAGGAUGUUUCAGGGUCAUAUUAAAUUUAAAGAGAAAGUUAGGUAAAUGCUACAUGCUACUAUAUACAUACACACACACACAUAUAGGGCAGAGAUUUAAUGUAAUAUAAUAACAUAUAUAUGUAUGGCUGACGAUCACUGCUUUUAUAUAUACAUUUGGUGGAUAUGUAAGUUGGAGAAGCAAUAUGAAGAUAAAAUAUUGAUUGUAAAGUGAUAUGUUGGAGAAAAGAUGGUAAGGCUGCUGUGUUAUAAAGAAAUAAUAACUCAUUAUUCACGAUACUUUUAUCUUUUUCUCUCCUUUCUGUUAAAUGGGGAAUUCUUGAUUGUGUUGUCCUUUUUUAGCAAAUAAAUUUAAUGUAAAUUCAAA